GUGAUUCUUCAAAGGAGAGAGGGAAAGCAGGAAGGAAUGAAGUAUUUACUUUAAAAAAAAUCACCACUUUUAGGAUUCACUGUAAUUGUUAGAAUGUGGUUGAGAUUUAUUUUU